UUAACAAGAGUGCACACGCUGAAAUGUCUCGCCUUCUUUACUAAUCAUUGAUAUUAUGUUGAUAGUCCUAAAUAUAAAGCUUUAUUACAACUGUCACAUAAACUUAACAUUAACCAAGUAAACUAAACAUUGACCAAUGAACCAUGAAAAUGAGGUCAAGGUCAGAUGAACCAUGCUAGGCAGGCAUGUACAGAUAACAAUUCUUCCAUACAACAAAUAUAGUUGACCUAUUGCUUAUAGUUUAAGAAAAACAGACGAAAACACAAAAACUUAACACUGAGCAAUGAACCUUGAAAAUGAGGUCAAGGUCAAAUAAAACCUGCGUGACUGACAUAUAGAUCAUAAAAUAUUUCCAUACACCAAAUAUAGUUGAACUAUUGCAUAUAGUAUUAGAAAAAAAGACCAAAACUCAAAAACUUAACUUUGACCACUGAACCAUGAAAAUGAGGUCAAGGUCAGAUGACACCUGCCAGCUAGACAUGUACACCUUACAAUCAUUCCAUACACCAAAUAUAGUAGACCUAUUGCAUACAGUAUAAGAAAAACAGACCAAAACACAAAAACUUAACUAUAACCACUGAACCAUGAAAAUGAGGUCAAGGUCAGAUGACACCUGCCAGUUGGACAUGUACACCUUACAGUCCUUCCAUACACCGAAUAUACUAGACCUAUUGCUUAUAGUAUCUGAGAUAUGGACUUGACCACGAAAACUUAACCUUGUUCACUGAUCCAUGAAAUGAGGUCGAGGUCAAGUGAAAACUGUCUGACGGGCAUGAGGACCUUGCAAGGUACGCACAUACCAAAUAUAGUUAUCCUAUUACUUAUAAUAAGAGAGAAUUUAACA